rnacentral:rRNA from 1 species
ACGAAGGGGGCUAGCGUUGCUCGGAAUUACUGGGCGUAAAGGGCGCGUAGGCGGAUGUUUAAGUCAGAGGUGAAAGCCCAGGGCUCAACCUUGGAACUGCCUUUGAUACUGGACAUCUUGAGUACGGGAGAGGUGAGUGGAACUCCGAGUGUAGAGGUGAAAUUCGUAGAUAUUCGGAAGAACACCAGUGGCGAAGGCGACUCACUGGCCCGUUACUGACGCUGAGGCGCGAAAGCGUGGGGAGCAAACAGGAUUAGAUACCCUGGUAGUCCACGCCGUAAACGAUGAGUGCUAGUUGUCGGCAUGCAUGCAUGUCGGUGACGCAGCUAACGCAUUAAGCACUCCGCCUGGGGAGUACGGUCGCAAGAUUA